AUUGAACGCUGGCGGCAGGCCUAACACAUGCAAGUCGAGCGGAUGAAGGGAGCUUGCUCCUGGAUUCAGCGGCGGACGGGUGAGUAAUGCCUAGGAAUCUGCCUGGUAGUGGGGGAUAACGUCCGGAAACGGGCGCUAAUACCGCAUACGUCCUGAGGGAGAAAGUGGGGGAUCUUCGGACCUCACGCUAUCAGAUGAGCCUAGGUCGGAUUAGCUAGUUGGUGGGGUAAAGGCCUACCAAGGCGACGAUCCGUAACUGGUCUGAGAGGAUGAUCAGUCACACUGGAACUGAGACACGGUCCAGACUCCUACGGGAGGCAGCAGUGGAGAAUAAUGGACAAGGGGCGAAAGCCUGAUCCAGCCAUGCCGCGUGUGAAGAAGGUCUUCGGAUUGUAAAGCACUUUAAGUUGGGAGGAAGGGCAGUAAGUUAAUACCUUGCUGUUUUGACGUUACCAACAGAAUAAGCACCGGCUAACUUCGUG
rnacentral:rRNA from 1 species